GGGGGCUGCCCUCCUCCAAUCCAGUUCCCUCUCCAGCGCUGUUCACAUCUGGAGCCCCCUCCACAUCUGGAAGACCCUGAUCACCGUCCCUCUGCUGGUUCGGCUGCAUCUAAAGACCUCUGCCUUUGUAACUGCCUAGGAGUUGCGAGGGGAUUGCUGCCUUCCCCCAUCCCAAGGGCAUCUCUUACCCUUAGUCCUUGCAGAAUCAUCCCCCUGCCUCCGCAUCCAGAUUCAGGCAAAGAUCAGCUCUGUACACCAUUGGCACUUCAAGUCCUGGAAGCUGUUCUUGGGCCCAAGGCCCCUCCCCUUGCCCUCCUGUGUCCUCACCUUGACCCCCCCACCCCCGUCAGAUUCUGUCUCCCUCUGGGUGCUCCAUCCCCCACCCAGAGGCGAGUAGGUGGAGUGGCAGGCAGCAGGGGCUGGGUGAGGGCCGCCCAAGGCCAGGGUAGGCUGGGGGGCCGUUAAGAUGUGGAGCUCUGCCCGUCCGAGGGGGGCUCCGUGGAGGCAGACGAAGUGUGUGCCCCGCUGGGGCGAGUAUGGGCAGGCUUGCGGCCACGUGGUGAAGGAUGAACAUUCGGGGUGCCCCGGACCUCGGGCAGCCCAGUGACGACCCCAACAGUGGUGGAGAAAGAGAGCGGAUUCGACAGCGCAUGAAGAUGGUCAUCGGGCAACUUGAAGGCAUCCUGAGGGAACUCAAAGAAGUGGCUAAGGAGCUGAGGGAGGUUCCCCAAUACUCAGGAUGCCAGGCCCAUCCCAGCAGGUUCCCUAAACUCCUCAGAUUCCAUGGAUCUUCUUUAGAGACAGACCAUCCCAAGGGACAAAGAGCACAGGCCAGGUGGCUAGAGUUCCGGUUCAGUCCUCAGAGCUCCACCUCCUGAACUUUGUGAGCUUGGGAAAGUUACUUUGUUUCUCUGCUUCUGCCCGCCCAUCCUUAAAAGGAAGAUACCAAAGGUUUCUAUUCUCCCUUAUAUAAAUCACAUAAAACAGACACAAA
rnacentral:lncRNA from 1 species